GAGUUUGAUCCUGGCUCAGAACGAACGCUGGCGGCGUGGAUAAGACAUGCAAGUCGAACGGAUUUAGCUUUGUAGUAAUACAAAGUUAGGUUAGUGGCGCACGGGUGAGUAACACGUGAGUAAUCUGCCGAGAAGUGGGGGAUAGCUCGCCGAAAGGCGAAUUAAUACCGCAUGUGAUAGCAAUAUUAAAGUCGGGGUAACCUGACGCUUUUUGAUGACCCCGCGGCCUAUCAGCUAGUUGGUGAGGUAACGGCUCACCAAGGCAUUGACGGGUAGCUGGUCUGAGAGGACGACCAGCCACACUGGAACUGAGACACGGUCCAGACACCUACGGGUGGCAGCAGUCGAGAAUUUUUCACAAUGGGGGCAACCCUGAUGGAGCGACGCCGCGUGGAGGAUAAAGGCUUUCGGGUUGUAAACUCCUGUCAUUUGGGAACAAGGUGCAUCGAUUAACUGUCGAUGCAUUGAUAGUACCAGAAGAGGAAGAGACGGCUAACUCUGUGCCAGCAGCCGCGGUAAUACAGAGGUCUCAAGCGUUGUUCGGAUUCAUUAGGCGUAAAGGGUGCGUAGGUGGCGGGGUAAGUCAGGUGUGAAAUUUCGGAGCUUAACUCCGAAACUGCAUUUGAUACUGCCUUGCUUGAGGACUGGAGAGGAGAUUGGAAUUCACGGUGUAGCAGUGAAAUGCGUAGAUAUCGUGAGGAAGACCAGUGGCGAAGGCGGAUCUCUGGACAGUUCCUGACACUGAGGCACGAAGGCUAGGGGAGCAAACGGGAUUAGAUACCCCGGUAGUCCUAGCAGUAAACGGUGCACGUUUGGUGUGGGAGGAUUCGACCCCUUCUGCGCCGGAGCUAACGCGUUAAACGUGCCGCCUGGGGAGUACGGUCGCAAGAUUAAAACUCAAAGAAAUUGACGGGGGCCCGCACAAGCGGUGGAGUAUGUGGCUUAAUUCGAUGCAACGCGAAGAACCUUACCUGGCCUUGACAUGCAUCUCUAAGUUGGUGAAAGCCAGCGAGUCCCGAAAGGGACAAUUUGCACAGGUGCUGCAUGGCUGUCGUGAGCUCGUGUCGUGAGAUGUUGGGUUAAGUCCC
rnacentral:rRNA from 1 species